UUUUUUUCUUCGACGUAACCAAGAAACACAAAUCCUCCAAACACAAUCGACAAUCUCAAAUCACUAUCUCCCUCAAUCUCCCCUCACUAAUCAAACUCUGUAACAAUCAUCUUGAAGUUGGUCCCUUGAAUCUCAUAUAUUUCUCUGUUUCGUGUCACUCAUUGAAAAACUAUGGCUCCUAAGACUCGCUUCGCCAGAAAAACAAACAAGGAAGGUGCGCCGGAGAAGAAGAAGAAGAACAGGUCUGCGGCGGAGAAGAAGAAAGCUGCGGCGGUGAAGAGAAGGAGAGAAGCCGUGAAAAAAAAAAGAGAUGCAUCAAAGAAGAAGACUGAAACCGCAGAAAAGAAGAGGAAGCAAGACUCGUCUUCGUCGGAGUCUUCAUCCAAUCCAACCAAGCGGCGUCGGACCGCAUCUUCACCAGAACAACAUUCCGAUCCCGAUCAUUCCCCGGCACCAUCAGCGGAAUUGCUUUCUCAGGAUGAUAGAGAGGGUACGCCAAGCCCAUCAUUUCCGAUUGAGCCACAAAAAGCACCUACUCAAACACCCAGUGAGGCGGAGAAUCCACUGCAAGAUCCAAUAACUUCUAACAACAGAGAGGAUCCCAACAGAGAGUCACACUCACCAGAGGCUGCCAUUAACAAUGAAGCGCAAAGAACGAUUGGAUCUAACAACAGUGAUUCAAACCCACCUGAGGCCGCCAUUGGAUCUGCUACCAUUGACAAUGACGCGCCAAGAACGGCUGGGGAGGAGAAUAUGGCCGUAGAACCAAUGAGACCUGUUGGUUUUUUCUUCAAGCCGAGUGAUUAGUGGACAGCUUGCAAGCUCUCCUCAAGGUGCCACCAACACGAUUUUCUGGAGACGAUUAAAGACUUUAAGGAGUCAGAGAAGAGUUGGUUUGAGAAUCACCCUCAGUUCAAGCAUUUAUUCCACAUGGAUUGUUGCGAGAAAAGAAAGGUUCAGGGAUUGUGGAUGUUGCUACUUCGUUGUAUGCAUACAGGAAAGGAGCGACAAGCUUGGUUUGGGGUAAACGGUGUUCCAAUUAGAUACUCUAUCAGGGAACAUGCCCUCCUCUCUGGUUUAUACUGCGGAUCAUACCCUGAAAACUAUCCGAGAAAAGGGAAGAUGAAGUUUGCAACAAAGCAUUUUAAGCACUUGCAGAAGAAGACUAAGGAGAAGAAUAGGAAGAAACAGGGUCUGAGAGUGACAGAAGCGGAUGUCUUAGAGAAGCUUGAGAAGAUGGAAGCUGAUGAUGGUAGUGAUGAGCGUCUGAAGAUGGUGGUUCUUUAUUUUUUGACCAGAGUAAUAAGAGGAAGGACAAGAAAUGCAUACUUCAUUGAGCCUUUCAUUCUCCAGGCAGUAGAUGAUCUGGAUUUUUGCAACAAGUUUCCAUGGGGCCGUUACACAUUUGAUGAUUGCAUGAAGGAGAUUUUCCACUUGAGGGAUCAUUUCGCUAAAGGGCUCCCAGAGAAUAAUAUGCAGUGGACAUUUCCUGGGUUUGUCAUCCCUUUGGAGAUAUUGGCUUUUGAAUGUAUCCCUGUCCUUAGGGAAAGUUUCAGAGAUCCUGAUCCAAACUGUCUUCCAGAUUGCCCAAGAAUGUGCAAAUGGAAGUACAAGAGGACUGGGACAACAGGAUUUGCAUUAGAAGAGAUUUAUAAGGCGCUUGGAAACACAAAGGUGAUUUCAAGUACGCUGAAACCACAGGGAGAUGAACUAGACCUCUUGUAUGAAAUCAUGGAUGAAGGGAGUGUGGAAGACGUGGAGCUGCAAGAUGAUUCAGAUAAGGCAGACAUAGCCGUUGACGGUUGGAACCGGAUCCUUAUAGAACCGGAAGGAAAAAUAUUUUGGGAGGAUCUAUUCGAGAUGGAUGUGAGAACCCGGCCUACCACACAGCAACAAUCUGAGCCUCAUGGUAUAUUCGAAGGACAGGAGGAAGAAAGGGUAUGUGAGGAACCCGAGGCAGGGGCGAGGCAGGCCGUGAGAGUGUAAAAGAGUUGGAAUUGAGAUUGAACAAGAGAAUGGAUGACGGAUUUGCAUUGAGGGACGAAACAAUUCGUCUCUUGGAAGCACGAGUAAAGGAGUUGGAAAAAGAUAAGAUUCAAAGAGAAAAUUGGUCAUUCCAAUUUGGUGAAUAUGAAACAUGUGAGGCUUCAGGAGAUAAUAUGGGCAAUGGCAAUGAGGAUGGUGAGGCAGUGGCUGAGAAGGAUGGUGAGAAACAGGUCGAAGAAGAGGCUGAGAAGGAUGGCGCGAAAGAGGCUGAGAAGGAUGGCGCGAAAGAGGCUGAGACAACACCUGAAG